rnacentral:rRNA from 1 species
CCUACGGGAGGCAGCAGUAGGGAAUAUUGCUCAAUGGGGGAAACCCUUAAGCAGCAACGCCUCGUGGAGGAUGAAGUUUUUCGGAUUGUCACCUCCUUUUCUUAGAGAAGAUAAUGACGGUAUCUAACGAAUAAGCACCGGCUAACUCCUUGCCAGCAGCCGCGGUAAUACGGAGGGUGCAAGCGUUACUCGGAAUCACUGGGCGUAAAGAGCGCGUAGGCGGGAUAGCAAGUCAGAUGUGAAAUCGUAUGGCUUAACCAUAGAACUGCAUUUGAAACUGUUAUUCUAGAGUAUGGGAGAGGUAGGUGGAAUUCUUGGUGUAGGGGUAAAAUCCGUAGAGAUCAAGAGGAAUACUCAUUGCGAAGGCGACCUGCGAGAACAUAACUGACGCUGAUGCGCGAAAGCGUGGGGAGCAAACAGGAUUAGAUACCCGGGUAGUC